CUCCCUGCGAUUCCAGCGCGGUCAGGGGGCGAACCCGCCCGAUUUCUACGGUGCGGCCUUGGACCAAAUUCUUCUCUGGCGUAUAAAUCCCCAAUCGUGCCCGCCUCUUGCUCAACCACCUCGCACCGCCACCAGGGGACCCUCGUCACCGAGAAAGAGAGAGCCACGAGGGAGAGAGGGAGUCUUCUUCGCCGAUCUGCGCUCAUCGGCGACGACAAGGGAAGGAAGGGCACCGGCUCUGUGUCAGUAUCCCUUCAUCAGUCACUGGAGGUCAGGCAGAGCAUGUUCGAGGAGAUGCAGCAGAUAAUGAAGCUACAAGGCUCGCAGGCCAAGCACCAAGGUUUAUAGGCCAGAAUGGGCUAAAUAGUUGCUAGGCCGGCCUGUGUGCCGGAGUAUAAUAUAUAAGCCAAACUUAGGGCAGAGAAGGGGAUGAAAUGAACCUGACUCUGAAUUCUACUAUCUACUAUCGUCUCCCUGUUCUUCACCUCUAUUCAUCUUCUUUGUGUUGUCUGUCUGUAUCUCUCCACUCCUGCUAUUCUAUUAGUGAUCUAUUAGGAUAGCUAACAAUUGGUAUCAGAUAUCCACCGAUCCUCGAAUUCCAUCGUUCCUCGACCGGAAAACAUCCAUGGCGUCUUCUUCACCGGUCCAUACUCAGCUCAUUCAAGCGUUGGAGCUUCAGACGCGCGCCCUCCUCUCGGAGUUAGACAAGCGUCUCGACUCCAAGUGGGGGACCAAAUGGGAAUCCCGUGUUGGAGCGAUCGAAUCGCGUUCCGCCGAUUCGACUCGCGCCAUGUCCGAUUUCUCCUCUGCUCUUCACUCCGACGUGGAAGCGCACCUCACAGCAGCUGACGCCGCCACCGACUCCAACCUUCUCCAGAUCGAAGCCGAGCUGGACCCCCGCGUGUCGGCGCUCAAAUCCUCAGUGCACGCCCUCGAUCUGUGGUGUCCUCGCGUGGAUUCAUCGAUCGAGGGGCUCCACGCGUCGGUGGAUUUCAUCAGCACCGAAGUGUCCAAGAUGGGGAUUCUAUGGAACCACGACGUGUGUGUCGACGACUUAGCCAGGCCGGGCUUGUUCGGAGCACACAGAUCGGCGGCGUGCUUCGACGCGUCCGCCAGCGCGCCGUCCAUCCCAGCCUCGGUCAUCGCCGACAACUGGGGAGGGUUCUUCGACGAUGGCGAGCAGUACUGCGCGGCGCUGGACGCGCUGCCCAACAGCAUCCACUCAGACCUCCUCAACACAUUCGCGCGUCACAGCCACGACCAUCUCUUCGUCCUCAACCCCGUGGCCGCCCAGGAUUCCUCUGCCGAGGAGGCCAUGGCCACGAUGGAAGCAGCCGCGGACGCGGGGGAUCCCGCGAGGCUCGUCCAGUCCUCUCCGUCCCCUUCCCUACUCAUCGCGGGGAACCUGCUGCCACCCUCCCUCACGAUGCCGCAGCUGCAAGCUGAGGUGGUGGACAAGCAGUACCGCGUCGCGAUGAGUCCACCGCCUCCUCUUCCCGUCGUCGACGAGCUGUACCGCGAAGAGGCAAGUCCUCCGCCUCCCAUCCACGACGACGCUGCAGGGGUGAUGUCCUUGGACUCGAGCGCGUUCAAGGUGCUCGACCAAAUGUCCAAGAGCGCAAGAGCCGACGGUCUAGUGGUGAACCCGUUCGAGGAGCUGGAAAGCGGCUCGAUGGCACUUCUCGCGGAGGCGACGGGCGAAAAGGUGAUCGUCGUUGGGUCUGUCUUGCUAUGCCGCUCACCAAGUCUCUACCCUCAAUCCAUGUCGUGUGACACGAGGCGAUGCAUGGCGUGGCUGGAUGCCAAGGCGCCCAAGUCUGUGGUGUACGUGAGCUUCGGCAGUGCCAAAUGCAUGCCACCCAUUCAGCUCAGGCAGCUCGGCAUGGCGUUUGCCUCAUGCCCCUCGCCUGUGCUCUGGCUCAUCAAGGACGCUGACUCCCUGCCCAACAACAUCAAGGAUUUGCUACACGAGCACACUGUUGCAGACGAUGUCGCAGGAAGCAAGUGCCUGGUGGUGCGCGGUUGGGCGCUACACGUGGCCAUCCUGGCCCAUCCUGCCAGUGACGGCUUCAUGGCGCUCUGUGGAUGGGGCUCCACUCUGGAGGUUGUUGCAGCCGGUCUUCCCAUGGCUGCCUGGCCCUUUUUCGCCGAACAAUUUAUCAACGAGCAGCUCAUCAUGGACGUGCUUGGUAUUGGAUUGUCUGUCGCUGUGAUGAAGCCAAUUGAAAAUGUUUUGAUUGCCAGUAACAUGGGUGGUGCUGUUGUGAUGAUAUAUGCUCCUGUUUUUUGGUCUUGCCUGACAAGCUUCACACUUGGAAUCCAUGGUCAGAUAGUUGGGGUUCUAUGUUUGCCAUUUCUGGUAAUUCAACUGAAUAUCAGUAUAGCUGUCCAGCAAAGGUUCUUGUGGGAUCCAGGUGGUGAUCAGUGUUGCUUACUGAAUUUGUUUAUUCAUGGCUUGGGGGACUUGCAGAUGCAACAAGCUAGUCUGUCUUUUGUCACGAAGACAGGAUGGCUGGUGAUUAUCCUUUCCUUGCUGCUACUCCAAUGGGACAAGCCAAACCUUCGGGGUCUUAACAAAUCCAAGUGCAUUCAGCGUGGCUUCCGUCGAUGCUAUGUACAUGCUUGUCCAAGCAGGUGGUCUGACUGGCUUCCGUCGGCCGAGUUUUGGUAUAAUAGCUCGUUCCAUUCUGCUACCGGUCGAUCUCCUUUUGAGGACUUAUAUGGUUAUGCACCUCGCCAUUUCUGUAUUACUUCAUGUGAUGGUCCCUCAGCUGGCCUAAAUGCAUUCUUGCAAGACAAACUGGUUAUGACCAAACUGUUACAGCAACAUCUUUUGCGCGCCAAGCAAUAGAUGAAGUCUAUGGAUGAUAAGCACCGCACUGAGUGUGAAUUUGCUGUUGGAGAUCUGAAGGCCGUGGGUGUGCUAACGUCCUGGUAUCUCCGUUGCUGCCUGCCACUGACUCUGCUUGGCACAUUCAUGAACAGAUAUUGGAGCGACAUCUGGUCGUCCCAACCUUCCUCGUUGGCAACAUGGGAAGACUUGGAAGCACUCAAGCACACCUUUCCUCAGGCUCCAGCUUGGGGGCAAGCUGGUUCUCAUGGAGGAGGGAAUGUCAGUAUCCCUUCAUCAGUCACUGGAGGUCAGGCAGAGCAUGUUCGAGGAGAUGCAGCAGAUAAUGAAGCUACAAGGCUCGCAGGCCAAGCACCAAGGUUUAUAGGCCAGAAUGGGCUAAAUAGUUGCUAGGCCGGCCUGUGUGCCGGAGUAUAAUAUAUAAGCCAAACUUAGGGCAGAGAAGGGGAUGAAAUGAACCUGACUCUGAAUUCUACUAUCUACUAUCGUCUCCCUGUUCUUCACCUCUAUUCAUCUUCUUUGUGUUGUCUGUCUGUAUCUCUCCACUCCUGCUAUUCUAUUAGUGAUCUAUUAGGAUAGCUAACACUCUGACCGCGUUUUGGCAUGGGGAUUUCGCUGUGAUUGCGACUUUGUGCCGGUCAAUGGAGUCCGCCGCAACACCGGGUGAGCGCAUCGGUGUCGGCCGCAAGGGAAGGGAGGAAACCUCGUCUGGGCAGUUCCUCGCAGCCGUGGACACUCGCCGUCAUCCACCUAGCGAUCGACUCCACCCCCGUUCCGAACUCUCGGUAAGCGUCACUCUUUGUACGUAGUCGUCCCUUUGCUGAGUAGGGGGCAUCGUUCAGUUAUAGCGUAGCGGGCGUCG
rnacentral:lncRNA from 1 species